ensembl:lincRNA 1700008K24Rik RIKEN cDNA 1700008K24 gene
AGUUAUUUUGCAGGAGGCUUCUCAGGGAUGAAGGCAAGCUGGCCCCUAGCUGAUCAGCUGGUUGGUGAGGACUCUUCACGAAGUAAGGGACCAUUGUGAAGAUGGAAGAAUGCCCACAAAAUCCAGCUUGAAACCUGCUGGCUCUGAGGGUCCUGCUGGCUCAGCAGUGCUGUGUUUCUUCUGUCCUAACCAGAAAGUUACCCUUCUAUUUGCGGAGAGCUAUUGCCUAUCGGCCUGGACCAGCAGAUAACUCAGCACUCAUGAUCAGCUGUCAAGCUAUAACGGAGUGUUGAGGCAGUCCCUGAAACCACAGCGCCAUUUUGUAGGAACUAAGAAGCCAACCUCAAGGAAUCACUCGCCCCAAGAAGACUUUGUUCUGAUCUGAUGUGUUUCUAGCCUGGUGGAGCCUCAGCUAUCCAAAGGAAGAGCUGUUAAGAUGAUUGGAAUUUUGGUUUUUCCGAUUCACUCUUUUUUCUCUCCAGCCAUCUGCCUUAGACAGCAGGAGAAAAGGAAACUUAGCCUCAGAGGUGGGGUCCUUCGGAAGGACUGACAGUGGGCUAGCUCUCCUGCUGCUGGGAGCCUGAGUGCCUUUGGCUCCUUGUCCAGACCUCAGCUUUACCACGGAGGUUACCUGCUUACCAUCAGCAUCGAAACUUGCCUCUUCCCCUGGGUGUAUUCUCCCUCUUUUGUGCACAGUUUGAUUCCUCCAAACUGCUCUCCCUGUGAAGAAAGCCGAUGGAAUUCAGGGAGCCUGGCCAGCCACCCAGGCCUUUAUAAAGGUCCUCGUACCACAGGAUGUAUGGGAGACCCAAUAAAGACUUUUGCAAAAUGCU